UGGUUAUAAUAGCAGAGAGGAUACACCUGUUCCCAUUCCGAACACAGAAGUUAAGCUCUCUAGCGCUGAUGGUACUUGGUGGGAAACUGCCUGG
rnacentral:rRNA from 1 species